rnacentral:lncRNA from 1 species
AUUAAGAUAAAUCUUCCGUACAACAACAAAAACAUCAAACAUUAAGAGCAUGAUAUUCAACUCUCUAAAUAUCAUCCACAAACGAAAAUAUAAAUGAAAUAGAAAUAUCCUUCGCCCCGCCCGGUGUUACAGAAUCAAAGCAAUACAAUCUAAACUCAAAAUAGAAAUAGUAAAAUAAUAGCAUCAUGUCAUCCUCUCGCACUAAACAGCU